UACGUAGGGGGCUAGCGUUGUCCGGAAUCAUUGGGCGUAAAGCGCGCGUAGGCGGCUCGGUAAGUCCGCUCUGAAAGUCCAGGGCUCAACCCUGGGAUGCGGGUGGAUACUGCCGGGCUCGAGUCCGGAAGAGGCGAGUGGAAUUCCCGGUGUAGCGGUGAAAUGCGCAGAUAUCGGGAGGAACACCAAUGGCGAAGGCAGCUCGCUGGGACGUGACUGACGCUGAGGAGCGAAAGCCAGGGGAGCAAACGGG
rnacentral:rRNA from 1 species